rnacentral:lncRNA from 1 species
GAAAAACGAAAAUGUGAGUCUUCAUUCAAACCAAGUAACCACCAUGAAAAUGCAAGAACAACCCUUCAAGCUCAUGCCUUCAACAUGCAAAUGGAAAAUGCAAGAAGAGGAGUGAUAGAUCUCCCUUCCAUUAAGCAAGAAUAAGUAAAGUUGCAAGCAAGAGAGGAAGAAAAACGUGAUCUUGUUGAUUCAUUGCUCAAAAAACCC